UACGUAGGUGGCAAGCGUUUGUCCGGAUUUAUUGGGUUUAAAGGGUGCGUAGGCGGUCUAUUAAGUCAGCGGUGAAAUACUCCAGCUUAACUGGAGGGGUGCCAUUGAUACUGAUGGACUUGAGUCAAGUCGAGGUAGGCGGAAUUGACGGUGUAGCGGUGAAAUGCUUAGAUAUCGUCAAGAACACCAAUAGUGAAGACAGCUUACUGGGCUUAAACUGACGCUGAGGCACGAAAGUGUGGGGAUCAAACAGG
rnacentral:rRNA from 1 species